rnacentral:tRNA from 1 species
GCGGGUGUUGCGUAAUGGUAACGCUCUAGCCUUCCAAGCUAGCCACGUGGGUUCGAUUCCCAUCACCCGCUCCA